rnacentral:rRNA from 1 species
UACGAAGGGGGCUAGCGUUGUUCGGAAUUACUGGGCGUAAAGCGCACGUAGGCGGACUUUUAAGUCAGGGGUGAAAUCCCGGGGCUCAACCUCGGAACUGCCUUUGAUACUGGAAGUCUUGAGUAUGGAAGAGGUAAGUGGAAUUGCGAGUGUAGAGGUGAAAUUCGUAGAUAUUCGCAAGAACACCGGUGGCGAAGGCGGCCAACUGAUCCGGAUCUGACGCUGAGCGC